rnacentral:sRNA from 1 species
UUUGAAUCUUGAUAAAGAAAAUAAAAAGAUGCGAGCGAAUAGCGUGCAUUUGUUAAAAAUAAUAAAUUGAAUAAUAGUUCCAAGUGGUUUAUAUUUGGACAAAAAAUUAGACCGUAGUUUCAAGCUGC